CCCAAAGGUUCCCUCAACCUGGUUGGCAAUCAGGUGGCGAGUGUAAGUGCACAAGGGAGCUUGACUGUGAGACUGACAGGUCGAGCAGGGACGAAAGUCGGGACUAGUGAUCCGGCAGUGGCUUGUGGAAGCGCUGUCGCUCAACGGAUAAAAGGUACCUCGGGGAUAACAGGCUGAUCUUGCCCAAGAGUCCAUAUCGACGGCAUGGUUUGGCACCUCGAUGUCGGCUCGUCGCAUCCUGGGGCUGGAGUAGGUCCCAAGGGUUGGGCUGUUCGCCCAUUAAAGCGGUACGCGAGCUGGGUUUAGAACGUCGUGAGACAGUUCGGUCCCUAUCUGCGCGCGUAGGAAGUUUGAGAGGAUCUGACCCUAGUACGAGAGGACCGGGUUGGACGAACCUCUGGUGUGUCAGUUGUUCCGCCAGGAGCACCGCUGAUUAGCUACGUUCGGGAUGGAUAACCGCUGAAAGCAUCUAAGCGGGAAGCCGGCCUCAAGAUGAGACUUCCAUACCUCGGGGUGAGAGGCUCCCAGCCA
rnacentral:ncRNA from 1 species